rnacentral:rRNA from 1 species
GACGAACGCUGGCGGCGUGCUUAACACAUGCAAGUCGAACGGUAAGGCCCUUCGGGGUACACGAGUGGCGAACGGGUGAGUAACACGUGGGUGAUCUGCCAUGCACUUCGGGAUAAGCCUGGGAAACUGGGUCUAAUACCGGAUAGGACCACUGCCUACAUGGGUGGUGGUGGAAAGCUGUUGCGGUGUGGGAUGGGCCCGCGGCCUAUCAGCUUGUUGGUGGGGUGAUGGCCUACGAAGGCGACGACGGGUAGCCGGCCUGGGAGGGGGACCGGCAACACUGGGACUGAGAUACGGCCCAGACUCCUACGGGAGGCAGCAGUGGGGAAUAUUGCACAAUGGGCGCAAGCCUGAUGCAGCGACGCCGCGUGAGGGAUGACGGCCUUCGGGUUGUAAACCUCUUUCAGCACCGACGAAGCGCAAGUGACGGUAGGUGCAGAAGAAGGACCGGCCAACUACGUGCCAGCCGCCGCGGUAA